rnacentral:rRNA from 3 species
ACUGCUCAGUAACACGUGGACAACCUACCCUUGGGUCUGGCAUAAUCCUGGGAAACUGGGUAUAAUUCCAGAUAGGUCACAGAUGCUGGAAUGCACUGUGGCCGAAAGCUCCGGCGCCCAAGGAUGGGUCUGCGGCCUAUCAGGGUUGUAGUGGGUGUAACGGACCUACUAGCCUACGACGGGUACGGGUUGUGAGAGCAAGAGCCCGGAGAUGGAUUCUGAGACACGAAUCCAGGCCCUACGGGGUGCAGCAGGCGCGAAAACUUUACAAUGCGGGAAACCGUGAUAAGGGAAUCUCGAGUGCCAGCAUAUAAUGUUGGCUGUCCAGAUGCCUAAAAAGCAUCUGUUAGCAAGGGCCGGGCAAGACCGGUGCCAGCCGCCGCGGUAACACCGGCGGCCCGAGUGGUAACCGCUUUUAUUGGGUCUAAAGGGUCUGUAGCCGGCCAAGUAAGUCCCUUGGGAAAUCUGGCAGCUUAACUGUCAGGCUGCUAGGGGAUACUGCUAGGCUUGGGACCGGGAGAGGUGAGAGGUACCUUGGGGGUAGGGGUGAAAUCUUGUGAUCCUCGGGGGACCACCAGUGGCGAAGGCGUCUCACCAGAACGGGUCCGACGGUAAGGGACGAAAGCUAGGGGCACGAACCGGAUUAGAUACCCGGGUAGUCCUAGCCGUAAACGAUGCUCGCUAGGUGUCAGUCACGGUGCGACCGUGAUUGGUGCCGUAGGGAAGCCGUGAAGCGAGCCACCUGGGAAGUAUGGCCGCAAGGCUGAAACUUAAAGGAAUUGGCGGGGGAGCAC